GUAGGGAAUCUUCGGCAAUGGACGAAAGUCUGACCGAGCAACGCCGCGUGAGUGAAGAAGGUUUUCGGAUCGUAAAACUCUGUUGGUAGAGAAGAACGUUGGUGAGAGUGGAAAGCUCAUCAAGUGACGGUAACUACCCAGAAAGGGACGGCUAACUACGUGCCAGCAGCCGCGGUAAUACGUAGGUCCCGAGCGUUGUCCGGAUUUAUUGGGCGUAAAGCGAGCGCAGGUGGUUUAUUAAGUCUGGUGUAAAAGGCAGUGGCUCAACCAUUGUAUGCAUUGGAAACUGGUAGACUUGAGUGCAGGAGAGGAGAGUGGAAUUCCAUGUGUAGCGGUGAAAUGCGUAGAUAUAUGGAGGAACACCGGUGGCGAAAGCGGCUCUCUGGCCUGUAACUGACACUGAGGCUCGAAAGCGUGGGGAGCAAACAGGAUUAGAUACCCCGGUAGUCC
rnacentral:rRNA from 1 species